UACGGAGGGGGCUAGCGUUGUUCGGAAUUACUGGGCGUAAAGCGCGCGUAGGCGGAUCUGCAAGUCGGGGGUGAAAUCCCGAGGCUCAACCUCGGAACUGCCUUCGAUACUGCGGGUCUCGAGUCCGGGAGAGGUGAGUGGAAUUCCUAGUGUAGAGGUGAAACUCGUAGAUAUUAGGAAGAACACCAGUGGCGAAGGCGGCUCACUGGCCCCGGGUACUGACGCUGAGGCGCGAAAG
rnacentral:rRNA from 1 species